AACGAACGCUGGCGGCAGGCCUAACACAUGCAAGUCGAGCGGACCCUUCGGGGUUAGCGGCGGACGGGUGAGUAACGCGUGGGAAUAUGCCCUUCUCUACGGAAUAGUCCUGGGAAACUGGGGGUAAUACCGUAUACGCCCUUUGGGGGAAAGAUUUAUCGGGGAAGGAUUAGCCCGCGUUGGAUUAGGUAGUUGGUGGGGUAAUGGCCUACCAAGCCGAAGAUCCAUAGCUGGUUUGAGAGGAUGAUCAGCCACACUGGGACUGAGACACGGCCCAGACUCCUACGGGAGGCAGCAGUGGGGAAUCUUAGACAAUGGGGGCAACCCUGAUCGAGCCAUGCCGCGUGAGUGAUGAAGGCCUUAGGGUUGUAAAGCUCUUUCAGCUGGGAAGAUAAUGACGGUACCAGCAGAAGAAGCCCCGGCUAACUCCGUG
rnacentral:rRNA from 1 species